GACGAACGCUGGCGGCGUGCUUAACACAUGCAAGUCGAACGGAAAGGCCCUGCUUUUGUGGGGUGCUCGAGUGGCGAACGGGUGAGUAACACGUGAGUAACCUGCCCUUGACUUUGGGAUAACUUCAGGAAACUGGGGCUAAUACCGGAUAGGAGCUCCUGCUGCAUGGUGGGGGUUGGAAAGUUUCGACGGUUGGGGAUGGACUCGCGGCUUAUCAGCUUGUUGGUGGGGUAGUGGCUUACCAAGGCUUUGACGGGUAGCCGGCCUGAGAGGGUGACCGGCCACAUUGGGACUGAGAUACGGCCCAGACUCGUACGGGGGGCAGCAGUGGGGAAUAUUGCACAGUGGGCGGAAGCCUGAUGCAGCAACGCCGGGUGCGGGAUGACGGCCUUCGGGUUGUAAACCGCUUUCGCCUGUGACGAAGCGUGAGUGACGGUAAUGGGUAAAGAAGCACCGGCUAACUACGUG
rnacentral:rRNA from 1 species